CCCCUCUCGGGAUCGUAUCUGGAGAGUUUCCAGUACUCUACCAGUCUCGGCCAUGGGAGGGAGAAUUAAGCAGAGUCCUACCCAUUCCAUUCCUAGCUCGGGCAGUGGCUAGUGAGGGGAAGGCAAUCUGCCACAAGU